rfam:Sulfitobacter mediterraneus strain 1FIGIMAR09 PM02_001, whole genome shotgun sequence.
UCGCAGACAGCAAACUGCCCGAUAUGCAAGCCGGAUGGGAACAGAUGUGUUCCAACGUCAUGGCCGGAUUGUCGGGCUGCAACAUGAUCUAUGAGGCCG